rnacentral:sRNA from 1 species
CCCUAGCCCUGAUGGAAACGGCAUCCUUUUGUGGCGGGGUUCGCCACAAAAGAUAUAGUGGACAGCAGGAACAGCU